AGUGAACGCUGGCGGCAGGCCUAACACAUGCAAGUCGAACGGCAGCACAGUAAGAGCUUGCUCUUAUGGGUGGCGAGUGGCGGACGGGUGAGGAAUACAUCGGAAUCUACUCUUUCGUGGGGGAUAACGUAGGGAAACUUACGCUAAUACCGCAUACGACCUACGGGUGAAAGCGGAGGACCUUCGGGCUUCGCGCGAUUGAAUGAGCCGAUGUCGGAUUAGCUAGUUGGCGGGGUAAAGGCCCACCAAGGCGACGAUCCGUAGCUGGUCUGAGAGGAUGAUCAGCCACACUGGAACUGAGACACGGUCCAGACUCCUACGGGAGGCAGCAGUGGGGAAUAUUGGACAAUGGGCGCAAGCCUGAUCCAGCCAUGCCGCGUGGGUGAAGAAGGCCUUCGGGUUGUAAAGCCCUUUUGUUGGGAAAGAAAUCCAGCUGGCUAAUACCCGGUUGGGAUGACGGUACCCAAAGAAUAAGCACCGGCUAACUUCGUGCCAGCCGCCGCAGUAA
rnacentral:rRNA from 1 species